rnacentral:lncRNA from 1 species
UAUUAGUGUGAACAGCAGCAGCUUAAAGCACUCCCUAAUCUUGAAGAGACCAUAAGUAACACACUGCUUGAACAAGGCAGACCUCACACAGAAAGUGUUGCUGUGGAAGUUUUAAGCAAGAUGCCCAACACCAAUUAGUUUGAAGAGCUAAAGCAUGUUUGGAUCCUCUGAUGAAUGCAGAAGAUGUAUUCAGCAGCAACAGCAAAUCUGUGCCACAUUCAGUUUAACAAUUUACCCAUAGACUAGGAAAUCAAUGCUGUUUAAUAAGGAUAAAGGAGGGCAAAAUUGUGAUUCGAA